rnacentral:lncRNA from 1 species
GAUUGUGGAUGUCCUACUAAGGUAAGUCUAUCAGUAAUAAUGAUCUGAGGUACACCAAAGCAGCAGAUAAUUAACUUUCAAAUGAAGUCUUGCAUCUUUCUCUCAGUGAUUUAUGCCGAAGAUUUUACUUCUAUCCAUUUGAUGAAGUAAUCAAUGACUACCACUAAGAAUUUUCUUUAUCCUAUCACCAUUGAAAAAGAUUCAAUGAUAUGCAUUCUCCAUUAGCAAAGGGCCAUGGUGCUAUGAUCAGAAUGAGUUUGGUUGCAGGCUGAUAUUGAGUAUUAGCAUAUCUUUGAUAUUGAUCACAUUUAUUAAUCAUAUUGGUUGCAUCUUUUUGAAUAGUUGGUCAGGAAUAAUCUUGUCGAAUGACUUUUAUAUGCUAGUGAUCUAUCCCUUAAGUGAUUAUCAUAAAUUCUUUCGUGAACUUCUCAAAGAGCAUAGUCAGCUUCAGAU